rnacentral:rRNA from 1 species
UACGGGAGGCAGCAGUGGGGAAUAUUGCACAAUGGGCGAAAGCCUGAUGCAGCUAUGCCGCGUGUAUGAAGAAGGCCUUAGGGUUGUAAAGUACUUUCAUCGGGGAGGAAAAAACAAAACUAAUAAUUUUAUUUCUUGACGUUACCCGAAAAAGAAGCACCGGCUAACUCCGUGCCAGCAGCCGCGGUAAUACGGAGGGUGCUAGCGUUAAUCAGAAUUACUGGGCGUAAAGAGCACGUAGGUGGUUUUUUUAAAGUCAGAUGUGAAAUCCCUGGGCUUAACCUGGAACUGCAUUUUGAAACUGAAAUACUAGAGUAUCGUAGAGGGAGGUAGAAUUCUAGGUGUAGCGGUGAAAUGCGUAGAUAUCUGGAGGAAUACCUGUGGCGAAAGCGGCCUCCUAAACGAAUACUGACACUGAGGUGCGAAAGCUGGGGAGCAAACAGGGAUUAGAUACC